AAUUCCUCAGGGUGGCCGCCGUCCUCCUCCCCUUGGUGGGAGGGCGGAGGUAGCUGGGAGCUGUGUUGGCCACCACUGGCUGCCAACGCAGCUCGAGUUGGGAGAGUUGUCGCCAGUCUCUGGCUGUAAGCAGGAGGUUUGUUAGGAAUCAGCAUUGUCUACUUAUGAAGAUUUAUGGAGAAGCUGACAAACAUUAAGCUUUGAAGCCGAAGUCAGUUUAUCGUCUACGGAAGCAUCUAGCACUCUGUGCGAUUGGUGAAUGACUGGCCCCCACACACCUGCCACCCAGUAAAACGGCCAGGAGUGGUGCUUGCUGCUGGCCAGUGAAACAAGCACCUUUGAGGGCUUGACCUCCAGGCACAGCAUGUCCAGCCAGGAAGGCCUCCUCACUCUGCUAAGUGUUGAGCCUGGGUGUUUUUCAGACUCACUUUCAGGGCACCGUGAGUGGGUGGGGAGGCGGCGGGGGGGCAGAAGGCGAAGCACUAACCACAGCCCGUGCUGUCCAUCUGCUUCAGCCUCUGGUUAUGGGAAGCCAGGGAGUGGGGAUGGUAGGAUUUCCAGAGGGAUCUCACUCCCCCCGGGUUUGCUGAUUAGAAAAGACACUUGGGGCGCGGGGGCUCACGCCUGUAAAUCCCAGCACUUUGAGAGGCCAAAGCGGGUGGAUCAUCUGAGGUAAGGAGUUCAAGACUAGCCUGGUCAACAUGGUGAAACACAGUCUCUACUAAAAAUACAAAAAUUAGCCAGGUAUGGUGGCGGGCGCCUGUAGUCCCAGCUACUCGGGAGGCUGAGACAAGAGAAUUGCUUGAACCCGGGUGGCAGAGGUUGCAGUGAGCCGAGAUCACACCAUUGCACUCCAGUCUGGGUGACAGAGCAAGACUUUGUCUCAAAAAAAAAAAGACACUGGGGCCAGACAGCCCAUGCCAAUCACUGUCUUUCCCUUCGACUGAAGACGCAGGCACACUGCUUCCAUGGAGGUGAACAAGAACAGGCCACUUUCUGCACAUUCUGCAGGACUGAAAAAGCACACCAGGGUGUUUGUUUGUUUAUUUGUUUGUUUUGUUUUGUUUUGAGGUGGAGCCUGGCUCUGUCGACCAGGCUGGAGUGCAGUGGCGUGACCUUGGCUCACUGCAAGCUUCGCCUCCCAGGUUCACGCCAUUCUCCUGUCUCAGCCUCCUGAGUAGCUGGGACUACAGGCGCCCGCCACCAUGCCUGGCUAAUUUUUGUAUUUUUAGUAGAGAUGGGGUUUCACCAUAUUGACCAGGCUGGUUUCGAACUCCUGACGUUGUGAUCUGCCCACCUCAGCCUCCCAAAGUGCUGGGAUUGCAGGAGUGAGCCGCCGCACCCAGCUGAGUGGUUUGUUCUUUGUGGGGAGGUGUACAGGGGCUUGGAGAGAGCACUGAAAUCAGAGAUUUCUUGCUGGGUUCAGAGCUCAUCAGUUUGAGAUUUAACCAAUGAGCAGGCACCGAUAAAGUAAAAUGCAAGAAUGAAAACAAAAGUUAGAAAUGGCAUUUGCAAAGUCCUGGGUAACUUUUGGUGCUUGUAUGUUGCUUGGGCCUGUCUGUAGUGGUGGGUUUAUGAUGUCCAUAAAUGUGCUAUCUGAGCAAUUUAAUUUGUGGGUGCUUUAUGAAAAAGCAGCAGAGAGACUUCUAAAGCAGAUGAUGUGACUAGCAUUCAAAGGACCUGCAGGGUUUCCUCUGGAGCAGACCCUGUCACCUUUCUUGGUGAGCAUCUUGUCAGAUCUGUCCACACUCUGUGCCCUGUACAGCGCUGACGGCAGAAGAGGCUGUGAUAAGCAGGUGAUGAACAAAUGAAUGAGCAAGGAUAUGCUUACUGUUCUCACUUUAAUGAUGAGGAGAUCUCAUCAAGAAGAUAUUCAGCAGCUUGCACCAGGGAUGUGGGUACUUAACUUGGAAACCUGGACUUGCAUCGGCCCACAUGCCCUCUGGCCUGGCCUUUUCCACUUCCUUGUCUUGUGAGCUGGUGAGGACUAAUUUUUGCUUGUGCUUUCAUAGGACCAAAUGGGAGAAAUUCCGUUAAAGCAACAUAAAGAACUUAUUCGCCAUCCAGGCAGCAUGCAGCAAGGGCAAAUUCUGGAAUCCCUCCCCCAGGAAAGAUGUUUUUAAAGAAAGAACAGCUCAGUCAUCCGUUCUAGACAGUAUUACCCCAUCACUUAGCAUUUGUAUGGCUUUAAGCUCUUCACGGAGCAUUUUCAUCUGUAGGACUUCAUUUGAUUUGCAUAGCAACUCUGUAGCUAUAGGUAUUGUUGCAUUUUCUGGUAAGAAAACCGAGAUGCAGAGCAGCUGUGUUCUCUCCAGGAUCACACAGCUAGCGAGAGGCAGAGCCAGUAUUUCCCAUAAGCAGUCAACACUGAAGAUUAAGGCUGGGUCCCCAAGACUGUACGACCUGGGGAUUGUAAUAAUUGCUAACAUGAAGCACUAGUGUCGCUAGCAUGUUGUAUGUUAACUCAUCUGACUCACAGCAACCCUACGAAGUGGGCACCAUCCUCACUCCUAUUUCUCAGAUGAGAAAAUUGAGGCACAGAGAAAAUAAUAACUUGUUGAAGGACACCCAACUGGUAAGUUGCAGAGACAUGAGUUGAAUCCACAGGGUUCUUCACCACUAAUCACCUGUCUCCAAAAACAGGUGAAGAUGCCGUGAUCACGGUUCCCACGUGGCAUCUGGAGGGUCCUCUCGCUUACUCAAGGACAGUGGCAGAGUGUGCCUCUGUGGGCCUUGAAAAGCUGGGAAUACAUCACCCACAGAGGAACUGACCUCACAUCUCAGAAGCCUUUAACAACCUUAAGUCCUGAACUGCCCAGAACAGAGAGAGGAACAACAGCAUCUAAAGCUGAACCAAAACAAGUGAGAAUGAACUGUGGCUGUGUGUCCUCUGCUCAGCCCCAGAUGACAUGAGGGUUUCUCAAAGCACAAGGAACUGCACAAGCAGCACCUGGGGAAAGGUGCACCGUCGCUCAGCAUUAUGGAGGUGGGCCCAGGCUGCCCAGGGCUGAGCGUGGGCCUGUGCGGUGUCCCUAAGAGAAAGCAGGGAACCCUACAGGACUACAGAAACAUAGACAGAAACUGUUCAUAACUGAUGCCUCAGUAGUAAACCUGACACACUGGGGGACUCUCUUAGCCAGAAGAAAGGGGAUUGCUUUUGCAUUUUUCUUUGAAACUAUUUGCUACAGGCGAGGAGCUGCCAUCCCCCAAAUGUCAGAGAGGGGACAGGGGUCUGCAGAGUUGCUGGAUGAAGUGACUUGGCCCUUGUAGCAGAAGGUAAAUUGGCACAGCUCCGUGAGGCCUGAGCUGCCGAGGUAACACGCAUGACUGCUCCCGACAGCAGCAUGGGCUCUGACACCGAGCCCGGGGAGGCCUGGCGGCUUGGAGAUUGGGGACUGGUGCCGAGCAUCCUGGAGUUGGACAAUUGGCCUGCUCGUGGUUGGGCCACCGUAGGCUGCUGCUAGUUCCGGCUUUUGCUGGGUACCAUUUUUCCUUUCCAGAAUCCUCUCUGUUUACAGUUCCCUUAUCUUCCCCUUCUGUUUCCAUCCUUGUUUUAUAUGAAGAAUGAGGCUACAUAUUCAAGGCUUCUCUUCCCAAAUAUCCAGUCAAUUAACUUCUUUAUUUAUUAAUUCAUCUAUUAAUCAAUCAUGAUUAAUAUCCUAUCAUUGAGUAGCCGCUGACUAUAUGCUGAGCCCUGUGCCAGGCCCUGUAUACACCGCACAGAGGUGAGUAAAACAUGGUACCUCCCCUGGAGGAGUUACUAGACUUAAUUUGGGAGGUCAAAAGCAAAAAUCAGUUUCAGUAAGAAAAUAAUUAGGCAAGGAUCCGUGAACUGCUGUAACUCUGAGAUCCAGAAGAAAGGGCUGAUUCAGUGAUCCCAGGAAGGGCAGCCCUGGUUGCCAUCCCCUAAUAUGACCACCCCCAUACUCCCCUCUGGCUUCAGAGAGGUGACAGGGGUUGAAAUGGAAGCACACUGGAGUCUGGUUCCCUGGCAUUCCUAGAGACUUCCAUCUGACACUUUUCCAGCUUUUCUAAACUACCUAAGGGCCUCAGAGAGGCAAGCUGUGGAAGGCUGGCCCAUCCAGGUCUCCUCCGCAGGGAGGAACGCAGGCAGGGGCGGUAACGGCUACCCAGGAGGACACAUUUUUUGAAGAUACAUCACUUUAGUGAGAAUACUUUUAUGAAGGAUUUGAUAUCCUUUGCUGUAAUCUUGGAACAAACCUACAAGGUGGACACAGUUAUUUCCACUCUGCACAUGGAGCAGCCUGAGGCCCUGAGGCCCAGAGAGGUUAAAUACUCCACGCCUGGUCUCACAGUGAGUUACAGACACGGCAAGUAUUUCAUCUCACGUAGCAGAGGUUCUCCAAAGACAGACAGGAGGUUCUUGUCAGCUGUUCCAUGGAUGACCGUAGAAUUGGACCACCAAGACUUGCGCAAGAUGAUUUUAAAAAGGAUUGCCAUGGAGAGAUCUCUCAUUCUCGAUGAAAGGUGAUGUAGAGUUUUUUUAAAUUUUUGGGGCUUCUGGUUUUUGUUCAUUUCUCUAAGGAGAGUGUAUGGAGAAUGAGAACUUUGCCCUACGUUCCUGGACACGGGAAAUAACUUGAGGUUGUGCCAAGCCUGCACGGCUAUAGCUGAGUGGCUGCAGCUGGGGUUAGUUUGUUAGAUUUGCCUGAUCAGUCACAGAGCAAGUACCUGAAGAAAGGACAUGUACAUUAUGAUGAGGACGGAGGAAGGGCCUUCCUGAUAGUGCACAACCCAAUGGAAGGAGCUUGUGGAAUGGGGAUCAGGGGUGUUCCUGACACCAGGUGACAGGAUGGUGCCAGAAACCUUUUGGAGUUAUAGUGUUGGCUUAGAGCUGGCCCAGGAGAAAACAGAUUACAAAGUUUAAGUCUUUGAAAGAAACUUCGAGAACAUAUAGGCCACCUCUCUUGUUUUCCAGAUGAAGAAACAGAGAGGUCAAGUGACUCGUCCACAGCUGCAGAGGUCAUUAGAGAUACAGCUGAGUCUUGGCUGCUGAUUUUUCAACUUCCUAUCACGAGCUAUUUCUAUCAUAUGGUAUUCUAGACCAGAGAUCAGCAAAUUCUUCCUGUAAAGGGCCAAAUAGUGAAUAUUUUAGACUGGGUGGGCCAUACAGCUUCUGUGGCCACUAUUCAACUCAGCUGUUUUAGCCCCAAAGAAGCCAUUGACAGUAUAUAGACAAAUGUACAUGGCUAUGUUCUAAUAAAACUUUAUUUUAAAAGGUAGGUGGCAGGCCCAAUUUGGCCCACAGGCCAUAGUUUAAUGGCUCCUGCUCUAGAUAUUUCUCUUCCUCAAACAUACCCUCCAUGGUAAGGAAAUUGUCACAGUUUAGAGGUGGUUUGAAGGAUAGCACUUCAUCUUCCAAAAUUCAGGGCAUUAGAGCACUCAAGCAAGAUUUGGUGCUAUGUCCUUAAAAAGGAGAAAAGAAGUAGGGUGCCAGUUUUGUGAACAUGAGCAAAAAGAUUGUUUGUGGCCUAGUGCAGUGGUUCAUGCCUGUAAUCCCAGCACUUUGGGAGGCCAAGGACGGUGGAUCACUUGAGGCCAGGAGUUCAACACCAGCCUGGCCAACAUGGCAAAACCUGGUCUCUAUUAAAAAUACAAAAAUUAGCCAGGUGUGGUGGUGCACACCUGUAAUUCCAGCUACCCGGGAGACUGAGACAGGACAAUUGCUUGAACCCAGGAGGUGGAGGUUGAGUGAGCCGAUAUCAUGCCACUGCACUCCAGCCUGGGCGACAGACAGACUCUGUGUCAAAAAAAAAAAAAAAAAAAAAAAAAAAAAAGGAAGGAAAGAAAGAGAGAGAGAGAGAGAUUAUUUGAGGAAAGAAAGAGUAAAGAGAGAUAACCCUCACACUUGAUACCUUAUAGCUCAAAAAGAAUCACAAACGAGGUGUGAUGUCCAAUUAUGAGGCAGGAGUAAUGCAUGUCAGCUUUCCAAUGACCUUUAGUAAGCCUCUCCUUAAUUUUAGAAGGGGUUCAGAUUAUAGUUGAUUAAAGAACUAAAAUGGAUAAAUAAUUGUUCCCCGGAACCACCCCGCUCAUCUCCUUGUGGGCAAAUAGGUUUAUAAAAACUCAGUCCACAGCUUGAAGGUGUCUGACUAUGUUACAACCCAGCCCAAGGACAAGGGGAAGAAGGAGCAUUCAGGGAGACGUGGUGAGAAUGCAAGAAGCUCGUACUCAACACAGUGGUGUGUUCAAUAGAGGGAAAAUGACCCUAAGACCCUGCAGUGAUGGACUUCUAUGAGUUUCCAAGUUUGGAACCUCAGGAUUCUUGAUGGGCUAAAUCUUCAAAACCAUGUUAAUUUUCUUUAAUGGCAUCACUUUGUCUUUAGAAUCCACAUCUUCCUGAUAGGUGAUAUCCUCUCUUCUUCAUCAGAAAAAUGACCUUCCAAACUCUUAAGACUCAAGAUUUCCUAAUGAAAAUACUCCAAAGCGGCUCCUAGUCUCAUGAAGUUUGACUCACUUGAAAAUAUCUAGCACGUACAGAGUAAUAAAUUGUAUCGCCCCUUCCAAUUCUGAAACUAAAAUCUACACAAUUCCAGCCUCUGCCAACUUCCUGUUUUCCCGUCGUGGAGCAGACUAAGAGUUCCUGGAGCCUGGAAGACACACAGCUCCCCUCAAAUCUUCCCGCCCUUGUCCCUCCAUCCGGGAGCAGGCAGGUGAGCGGUGGCCACAGCUGUAGUCUUUGGGUGUUUUGAAACUGAUUAUCGGAUUCCUUAGAUGCAACUUUUAAUGGGACACAAGUCUAGCUUUACAGAUAGGCUCAACACGAACCGUUUGAAUGACUCCUUCAGAGCUUAGGGGAAAGGGUGCUGAUGGUAACUACUAUCUGAGCAUCUAUCUGAGAAGCAUCAUGCUAAUGGUAUUGGCUAUCACUUAAAGUUUUUGACUGUCUUUACCCAAGUCAGUUAUUUCUUCAGGGGUUGCAAAAUGGUUACUUUCUUUUUUUGAGACGGAGUCUCCCGCCGUUGCCCAAGCUGGAGUGCAGGGGUGGGAUCUUAGCUCACUGCAACCUCUGCGUCCCGGAUUCAAGCGAUUCUUAUGCCUCAUGAUUAGCUGAGAUUACAAGCGGCCACCACCACGCCCGGCUAAUUUUUGUAUUCUUGGUAGAGACAAGGUUUUACCAUGUUGGCCAAGCUGGUCUCAAACUCCUGACCUCAUGAUCCACCUGCCUCUGCCUCCUAAAGAGCUGGGAUUACAAGCGUGAGCCACUGUUCCUGAACAGUACUUUAAGUUUUUAAGUCAUCUCAUGCUCAGAGGCAGCGCUCUUUCAGGCUUUCAGCCUAUGAGUCUAUGCUGCUCCUGUGAACCCCUCUGGCACUCACUUUAUCUGUUCCCUAUCUUCUCCCUUUUGGAAUGUUUUUGACUACUCUGAGAGGCAAUUAAAAAUGGUGGUGGGCUGGGGCAGUGGCUCAUACCUGUAAUCCCAGCACUUUGGGAGGCUGAGGCGGGCGGAUCACUUGAGGUCUGGAGUUCGAGACCAGCCUGGCCAACAUGGUGAAACACCAUCUCUACUAAAAAUACAAAAAUUAGCCGGGUGUGGUGGCGCGUGCCUGUAAUCCAAGCUACUCGGAAGGCUGAGACGGGAGAAUCGCUGGAACCCAGGAGGCGGAGGCUGCAGUGAGCCAAGAUGGUGUCACUGCACUCCAGCCUGAGCCACAGAGUGUCUCAAAAAACAACAACAACAACAAAAAACAAGUUGCACAAAUUCCCAUUAGGUUACUUCAACUUCAUUCUGGAUUCUGUGAAGUGAAUUUUGAAGGCUAGGAGCUGAUUCUGUUUUAUCCGAGUAGAAGGAAUAUGGAAACAUUUCUGCCUUGCCCUUCAUGUUUGAUUGAUACGUUUCACUUUGAAAGUUAAUUAUAUCUGAUGCGAAGGAAAGAAGGAAAGAUGCGAAGGAAAGAAAAAUAGAUGCUCUUUUCAUGAGUUUUCACUGUGAAAAUUCGGGUCAUCUGUUCAGUUUUCUCAUGCCUCAGUUUACUCAUCUCCCAGCUAAGGUAAUAUUCCUGGUUUUCAGAGGAGAGGAGAGGACCAGGAAUUGGAAAUCCUGCCAUUUGCAACAACGUGAGUGAACCUGGAGGACACUAUACUCAGUGAAAUAAACCAGGUACAGAAAGAAAAUACUGCACGAUCUCUUUUCUGUGCAGAAUCUAAAAGAGUCGAACUCAUAGAAACAGAGAGUAGGAGGGUGGUUAUCAAGGAACUGAGUCAUUGCAAUCCAUGGUCUCAUAGACUUAGUCCUCCAAGGUUGCUCUGUCUGACCCUUCACUCAUUUUGGGAAAGCUCUUCAGAGUGUCCCUGACCAGUGACGUUCAGCUCCGGAGUGACUCUUCCAGGGACCAGAGACGUCCAGAUUCAAGGCAACCAUUUCAUGUCCGAAUAGGUCUAAUUGUAAGAAUGUUCUUCCUCGUACUCCAACACCUUCCUGAGGUAUCUACCUGUUGGUUUAAGUUCUGCCUUUUGAAGCAAAGUAAAAACAGAUGGGAUCUUUCCCACAUUUUGUCUCUUCAGGUUUGACUUCUCUUUCAUAGGUAUAGUUGUAACUUGUUUGUGGUGCGCUGUAGAAGAGCAUUUUGACAAAAUAAAUGUGUCAUUAUAUUUGUCACAUUCAGUCCUGUUAUUAGUGAACUCCCAAUUAAACAAAGACAUGUUCUGGUGAUGUCGGGGGCCUAUUGGGUAUGCUUGCUCAAUACACAAGGCUUCUGAGACACAAGGAAUUCCAUUUCUGUACCACACAUCCCUAAGCCCUGACUGGAUGAUAACUGUUCUCUCAUCUGCCAUGUUCGCACAACUAAUGAGAUGGCUGCACUGCAAGGGUCGGACCAGGAAGAAAAGGACCUACCAGUUUUCAGGAAACUUUCAGAUGAGACACCUUGAAUACCUUUAUAAAUGGUAGUAUUUAAUCAAGAAACUACAGCACCAGCUAGGAGAGGUUUUUACCUAAGACCCUGACUUUAGGGCUGGAAGAAAUAUCAUUCAUUUAUUUGUUCAACAAAUAUUUGUUGAGUAUCUACUACGUGCCAUGAAAUGUUCUAGAUGUUUGUUCUGUAUCAGAGAGUAAACGGACAAAAAUUCCUGUACUUAUAAAUCUUACGUUCUGGAGAGGGGACUUUAAAAAUAUGCAUUACAACAUUAUAAUAAGUAAGUAAAUCACAUUGUAGGUGAAAAAGUGGCAAGUUAUUUAAAGAGAAAAAAAACAGAACAAAGUUAGCAGCAAGAAUACUGGAAGGCAGUGGUGACCGCGGUGAUUGCAAACAGGGUGUUAGGAGGGGCUUCUGGGAGAAGGUAACAGCUGGACCAAGAGACUUACUAGGAAUGACCAGGAAGGUGGCAAAACGCUAAGAGAAAGUAAAACAUAAACCUGUUAUCUUGAGUAUUUUAGAAGUCAUAGUUGAAGUGAUGGAGAGUUGCCUUUAAAAUGCUACCUGUGAUUUGGUCUUUGUAAACCAAGCUUUGUGAAAGGAGAUCUUGUCAUGGUGUGGUUAUUCAUGCCGAGAUGUCUGCUGGGCUGAGUGUGGGCGAUGCACAGAGGGGAGAGUGAUGUGCAGAGGGUAGAGCGAUGUGCAGAGGGAAGAGAGUGAUGUAAAGCCAAGAUGUGAUUUGUGCAACUCUGGAUGAUUUGAGGGGAAACCUACAGGGUCAGAGUCACAACCUAAAGGGACUGCCCAAGGCAGGAAGGAUGGGGCUGAUCCAAGAGGGCGCCUCCGCAGCACAGAAAGGGACAAAGAACCCCACCAGUGUAAUCAAAGAUAAGAAAAAGGCAGAAAAAAGAAUUCUUAGUCCUGCCUAUUUUAACUGAAGGAAUAGUUAAAAUAUACCUCACAGGCUAUAUCUCUCUGCACUGGUCUGAAAGCAGAUGAAAGCAGGGAGAUAAAUCAGGGAGACACUCCCCCCACACAUAUACACACCCUCCCCAAAUUGAGCUGAGGAGGAGGUAUUUGCAUAUUCUCUUGGUUUCUAUCACGGUUAGAAAUGUUGGAAAGGGUGUACCUAGGGCCUAACUCCUAAGGAAACUUACUGCUGAGCCAAUAGACAGAGCAUAGAUUCAAAAGCAUGCCUUGGGUCUCGAAAGGGAAAGGAUAGGGCCUUUGUCAGGAGAGACUGUCAUCUCAAGGGUUAAAGGUCUAUUGAAAAGGAGAUCAAAAAUUGGGAGCACAUAAAGGGGAUGGUCUUAUUCUUUGAGUCUUUGGGAUCAUCCUUGCAACAGAUCUCUACUGUGGACUGUGGACUGUGGACUGUGGACUGUGGACUCUGGACUGCCCUGAUGCUCCCUCCACCACAGGACAGCUUCCUUGGGCACCUAAAUGAGUUUUGUGUGCUCUAUUGUGAGGGAAAUACAGAGAUACCAGAUAGCCAGGGAGGGGGGGUGGGGCGGGGGGGAGGAACUUAGGUCCCAGGAAUUCAGGGUCUAAUGAAUGGGAUCCUCACCACCAACACACAAUGCUUCUCCAUUAGGCAACAAGGUAUUAAGGGGCCUAUGAAAUUAUUUGAGAAUUGAAACAUUUAUUGGCCCCAAAAGAAAACUAUACAAUUGAAAUUAAUACAUAUUUUAUUUGCAGAAAUGGCAUUAUGGCUAUCUCGAUUGCUAAAUUCAGUAUUAAUAAAAAUGACACUGCACUUGAAAACAAUGUAUAGGUUUUUCUGUCUUGCAGGCAAGAAUUCCUAAGUAGGCACAAGAACUGCCAGGAAACCACUGCCAAUCAUGAUUUAAAUUAUUCAUAGCCAAAAAAUUUCAAAAGCAAAAUCAUAAUUUUAAAAUUUAUUUUUAUAGCAAAAAAAAAAUACCCUCUAUAUUUAAUGCGGGAUGGAAGUAGAUUCUAAUACGUGUGAUAUCGAGUGGGGUUGGGACCUCCAAAAGUGACAGGGUCUAGGACUGAGAAGGUGUGAACAUAGUUCUAACCUAAGGUCAUAUGUUGGAUGUCAGGGGAACAGGCAUCUCUUUAAUUUGUACAGUUGGAAAGCUGAAGGUAUAUAAAGAUAAAAUAGCAGUUCUAUUAUAGGCAUUAAAGAAAAGGUCUCCAGUUCAUGCGCCAGGGUUGUGGGUUAGGUAAGCCACUUUGCUCCAGCUUUCUGGGGGCCAGCUCUGCCCAGCCUCCCACCCUCACCCCAACCUCCCUCCUCUUUCUAUAACGUGGCCUCAUUCAUUUACUUCAGUAGCUCCUUUCUGGAACAAAUUCUCACAUUGCAGUCCUUUCCAGAAUGCUACAGUAACAGAGUUCUCAAAGGCUUUGAUUGAUGGGGUUUGAAACACUCUUUCUUUUUGGAAAUAUUUAUAUUUGAUCCCUUUUGGACAGACUGCACAUAACUAGAGCUUAUCACAUUGCUGAAAAUGAUGGGCAGAGUCUGAGAGACAGGAACCCUGAGUCGGCCGAGCCCUGGGAGAGCAAAGAUUAAUAUCCAUUUGUGCUUUGCUGUCCUCAACCCUGAUAACUGUAAAUAACGUUUGGAAAAGAUCGGGGUGCAUCAUGAUCUAUUACAUGGUGGCGACGAUUCUGGUUGUUAUGUCUUCCACAGUGAUUUAUCAUUCUCUGCAGUGACACAAAUCAUGGUCCUUGCCUGCCACUCUGGAAUGUAUGAUCUGCUGACUGGAACAGUGAUGAAUUUGUGUUUAUAUCAUAACAUUUUUAACCUGAGCUUGACCUGACCUCCUGCUCCAAUUUGGGAAUGUACUAAAAAUAUAUUUUUGUAAACCUCUAUGGUUUUGCUGGCUGGUGUUAAGAUAGAAAACACUUUUCCUCUUUUGGGGGGGACUAAUGUGAAGUGGUGCAAAUAAUAAGAAGGUCAAAUUGUGGAUAAAACAUUGUCUCAAUUGUUUUCUUACCUGUAAGAGAUCGGUAUAAUCUUGCCUUGUUCCAGCAAUCGGCAUCCUCAGAGCUGUUAAGCAGAAGGCCCUGGUAGUUUCUUUUUUCAAGACCUGGAAACCAAGAAGUGUCUACUAAUCUCUCUGUGUCUUUGUUUGAAGUGUGUGUGGGCUCUUGUGGACAAGUGUCUGAGUCUGUGUGCGUUAGUUGCUCCAUGAGGGGCAGGUGAGUGAAUCCAGGCCCUUCAGGCUGCCCUUUAAGGCAAUACUUUUCUCUGAAAUAGGGUCCAGGGACUUAAGAUCUUUGAAAGCUCUACAUGAAAAUGCUAUAUAUUUUUUUCAACCACAUUUCUUUCUGCGAAGUGUGGGAGUUGCAUGAAAUACAAAAAAUAAAAAUAAAAAAAUUUAAAAUCUCAUCAUUCCUUUCUGAAAUGAUCUUUGUAUGCUAUUCAAAUUGAUUGUCUUUUUUUAUUUUUUAAAUUCAUAUGAGGAACCCAAGGAUCUGGGGUUAAGAAAUGAUAUUUGAAUUGCAACUGUUCACAUGUAAAUGGGCGACUUAGAAAGCAAAUGCAUUUUAGACCAAAAACUUUUUUUUAAGGUAUUUUGCUAGAUUCUCAGUUUAGAGACAGAAUGUGCAAUAACCUGGCAAAGCAGUGGAGAAGGGGACGUUUUUCCAAGUGUCCCACCUUGACCACAGCAUUGCCCCCUCAACUCCUCAUCGGUCAUGGGCUCUAGGCUUGGCUUGUCCAAAGCCCUCACAGUCUCCUUGGUCACUCACAGACUGUCUCCUGUUUUCAAAUGCCUAUCAGUGAGCUAAGAUGACAAAUUUGCCCGUGAUCAUGUGCUGAAGUGAUAUGGAUUUCAGCUGAAGCCUCCUGGAAUCAACUCUCGUGGCACUGCCGAAGCCUGUGGUGACUUCGAGGGUGGAAUCUCAGGUGAGCGUGGAUCCAGGGAAAAGUGGAAGCACAUUGGUAUCAGUCAGACCCCUCAUCUCAUCUGACAACGAAGAGGCAAACACUUAUGCCACCUUAUUUUUCCAAUUUUUAGAUGGAGAAUCCUGAGUCACUCUCAAAACAAUAGAAAUUUCACAAGUAUCAGACUGACACGAGUUUGCUUAUUGCAAACCCGGAGGAA
rnacentral:lncRNA from 1 species